GGCGGCGGGUGAGUAAUGCUUAGGAAUCUGCCUAUUAGUGGGGGACAACAUCUCGAAAGGGAUGCUAAUACCGCAUACGUCCUACGGGAGAAAGCAGGGGACCUUCGGGCCCUUGCGCUAAUAGAUGAGCCUAAGUCGGAUUAGCUAGUUGGUGGGGUAAAGGCCUACCAAGGCGACGAUCUGUAGCGGGUCUGAGAGGAUGAUCCGCCACACUGGGACUGAGACACGGCCCAGACUCCUACGGGAGGCAGCAGUGGGGAAUAUUGGACAAUGGGGGGAACCCUGAUCCAGCCAUGCCGCGUGUGUGAAGAAGGCCUUUUGGUUGUAAAGCACUUUAAGCGAGGAGGAGGCUACCGAGAUUAAUACUCUUGGAUAGUGGACGUUACUCGCAGAAUAAGCACCGGCUAACUCUGUGCCAGCAGCCGCGGUAAUACAGAGGGUGCAAGCGUUAAUCGGAUUUACUGGGCGUAAAGCGCGCGUAGGUGGCCAAUUAAGUCAAAUGUGAAAUCCCCGAGCUUAACUUGGGAAUUGCAUUCGAUACUGGUUGGCUAGAGUAUGGGAGAGGAUGGUAGAAUUCCAGGUGUAGCGGUGAAAUGCGUAGAGAUCUGGAGGAAUACCGAUGGCGAAGGCAGCCAUCUGGCCUAAUACUGACACUGAGGUGCGAAAGCAUGGGGAGCAAACAGGAUUAGAUACCCUGGUAGUCCAUGCCGUAAACGAUGUCUUCUAGCCGUUGGGGCCUUUGGGGCUUUAGUGGCGCAGCUAACGCGAUAAGUAGACC
rnacentral:rRNA from 1 species